CUGUCCUCGAUCACCCUUUCAUCGGGUGUAUUAUAUUCUUCUCCUCAAGCAAUUUCCGGCUCAAAUUGACAAAGARCAGCCAUACUUCCAUAGCGAAAUUUGGCUGAUUCAGCUCCAGCUACCCAACAUGUUCCACUAUCUGACGUCAUCACAGCCCAGGCAUCCCAAGCCAUCAAAUCCGCGAUAUUCCACAGGGAGCCCAGCUUAAGUCAUUUCGCAACUUUGACGGACGAUAUCACCCCAAAAAACGCAUUUCAUGGAAUUUUCAUUUCGAUUUUCAAAAUCAACAAGGUUUGAUGUACAUUUUAAGCUAUGAUGUGUCUGGCACCUCAGAGUCCCUUUAAACAUUUUCUCGCUACAGUCCGUACACAGAAUGAACUGAUGACGUCGUGAUGCUAGUGUGUCGUUUGUUACUGGGUUGCUGGUUUCUCUAUUCGACAAAAUGGAAAAGUUGCGCAAUAUUACCCAUAUAUGGAUUGGAUGACGUGUCGAUACUUUCAUCUGCGAGUUCACAUGCAGGCUAUUGUGGAAUCGAAUCGUGCAUGUUCUUUGAGAAUAUGGGGCCAAAAUUUUAUAUCUUUAGCUUUUUAUCGGGACAUGAGCAAUGUCCAUCAUUACUAGUAAAGUUGGCGACCUUCAAUUUCACGCGGGUAGACUUUCAUCGCGGAGUUUUACUACUGAAGCGCUCUUAGAGCGUCUUGUUUAUUAAAUGGCCUGGCCAGAGAGCCUGGGCUAUAUUGACCGAUCACUACGUGACAUCAUUAUAAAAGUAAAGGGAGGAACGAUGGUUUCCACAUUUGGUGGACACUGCAAUGAAGCAAACACUAAGUAGGUCAGUCGUAAUCAAGGAACACAGUGGUAAUUUGGAGCUCGAAAAAAGUCUACCCUUGUGGAAACUGAACUCAACUGCUAAUUCUGUCGUUUUGCUUAGAAGAGUUACGCAAAAGGAAAUCAGUAAGUACUUCCAAAUUGAUCUAAAGUCCAUUGACAAAGCAGAUGAUGCGAGUCAGCACGAAGCGACUGAGAUGCCCUUCAAGACUUUUGUCAACAGUUUUCCUCUUCAAUCCAAGGUCAUAUUUAAAUUUUUCUAUAUCGAGCCUAUUUGCAUUUUCCUCUUCCUGUUUUAUUAAUCUUUAUGCCAAAUUAUUAAUCUCUAGACCAUAAUCCUUUUCACACUGCUUUUGCCCUCAGCUGCCUGCAUUAUACCUACGAAUGCUGCGUGCCGAAGUGAUUAUCUAGUAUAAUUAUUGUUCUUAUCAAAAUCCAAUUGUUUU